rnacentral:rRNA from 1 species
GAUGAACGCUGGCGGCGUGCCUAAUACAUGCAAGUCGAGCGAAUGGAUUGAGAGCUUGCUCUUAUGAAGUUAGCGGCGGACGGGUGAGUAACACGUGGGUAACCUGCCCAUAAGGCUGGGAUAACUCCGGGAAACCGGGGCUAAUACCGGAUAACAUUUUGAACCGCAUGGUUCGAAAUUGAAAGGCGGCUUCGGCUGUCACUUAUGGAUGGACCCGCGUCGCAUUCGCUAGUUGGUGAGGUAACGGCUCACCAAGGCAACGAUGCGUAGCCGACGUGAGAGGGGGAUCGGCCACACUGGGACUGAGACACGGCCCAGACUCCUACGGGAGGCAGCAGUAGGGAAUCUUCCGCAAUGGACGAAAGUCUGACGGAGCAACGCCGCGUGAGUGAUGAAGGCUUUCGGGUCGUAAAACUCUGUUGUUAGGGAAGAACAAGUGCUAGUUGAAUAAGCUGGCACCUUGACGGUACCUAACCAGAAAGCCACGGCUAACUACGUGCCAGCCGCCGCCGUAA